GGUCUGACUAGCUCAGUUGCUUAGAGCAUGGUGCUGAUAACGCCAAGGCCUAAGGUUCGAUUCCUGCAUAUUGGAUUA